rnacentral:sRNA from 1 species
CUCCUUGUUAUUAAAGGCUUAAUCUAUAGGUUUGCUAUGAGGAGAGACACUAUGUCCUAUUCUCUGAGGUCAAGUGGUCAAGAACAUGCACUGAAUCCUCAAUUAUUCUUUUUUGCAGGGAAAUUACCUUACUCUAAAAUUCACAAAUUUAACCGAACCGUCAUAGUACCUGUUCCUCGUAUAGCUGCUGCCCUGUCUGCUGGGGAGAGGAUGUGACUGUCUGCUGUGGUUGCUCCCAGGGCAGAAGCAUGUAAACUGGGUAGUACUGAAACAUCUGGAAACAGAAGUGCAUGAGAGAGUCCAUUAGAUCAGGAUGUGCAAUACUUUCCACUCUGGUGUUUCCACAGUUCCAAAAGGGAAGAAGCUUCACUUACAGGAUUAGCCUGCUGGGUCUGAGAUGGUGUCUGCUGCUGUGAGAAGUCUGGCUGGCCAGCCUGACCUCCUUGGGCAAACCCAACCUGUCUUGAGAAAGGUCAAGCUAAUAUUACAUAAUUCAAGGGUGUGUUUUCCAUAAUGAAGCAGUCAUGUCUGAAUCGCUGGGACGGCUGAGGUUUCUGGAAGUCUGAUUACCAUCAGCACCUGGGUAAAGCUGUCAAAAUGGCCGCUGCUUAGGAAGCACGAGUUCGGCAACCUCCAGCUGCUUGGUAGCAUGAGUUCACCUUACGAUAGCUUAGAUAUAAAUGUCAUUUCAAAAAAAAAAUAAAUGUCAUUUCAUGUUCUUAA